rnacentral:rRNA from 1 species
AUUGAACGCUGGCGGCAGGCUUAACACAUGCAAGUCGAGCGGAGAUGAGGUGCUUGCACCUUAUCUUAGCGGCGGACGGGUGAGUAAUGCUUAGGAAUCUGCCUAUUAGUGGGGGACAACAUUCCGAAAGGAAUGCUAAUACCGCAUACGUCCUACGGGAGAAAGCAGGGGAUCUUCGGACCUUGCGCUAAUAGAUGAGCCUAAGUCGGAUUAGCUAGUUGGUAGGGUAAAGGCCUACCAAGGCGACGAUCUGUAGCGGGUCUGAGAGGAUGACCCGCCACACUGGGACUGAGACACGGCCCAGACUCCUACGGGAGGCAGCAGUGGGGAAUAUUGGACAAUGGGGGGAACCCUGAUCCAGCCAUGCCGCGUGUGUGAAGAAGGCCUUAUGGUUGUAAAGCACUUUAAGCGAGGAGGAGGCUACUGAGACUAAUACUCUUGGAUAGUGGACGUUACUCGCAGAAUAAGCACCGGCUAACUCUGUGCCAGCAGCCGCCGUAAUAC